rnacentral:lncRNA from 1 species
GGCCGCCCUCCAAGAAGGACGUCAGCGUGUACAAGAGACACGCCGGUCUUGGUCUGCCGUGCGCCACCACGUGCCUGCCGCCGCGGGAGGCGCUGAAGGCCGCCUCGCUGCAGCCCGUCCACCUCCUGCAGCUCUCCCAGCUGAAGAUGGACUCCAGCCGCGAGGUGGCGCCACCGGUGGCAAGCCGCGCCGCCAGGGAGAUCUACCGGCGAGCCUGCAGCUACCAGCCGCCGCCCAUCUCCAAACGCUGCCUGGCCAUGUACCGCCGGCACGCCGCCGGCAACGGCUGCGCCUAGUCAGCUGACUGCAGGCCAGCUGACAACGAACGUCAGCUGACAGCGAGUCAGCUGACUCCGUCGGCCGCGCGGACGCGGUCUUCGCUGUGAGGACGCCGGCCUGUUUCGCGCUGUUUGUGGAUAUUCAUUUCAGUGGUGUGAUCCAAUGAGGAGGUUCCGCGCGUUUUAGAGAAACAAACGUCAAAUGUGGCAUUUCUCAGGCUAGAAUAUUACCAACAUGUCACAGCGCUUUAUUGCGUUGAAAUCGUGUUUUGGUAAUUGGAUGAUGUGUCUUCGCUGUGAAAUUUAAGUGUGGCGAUGAAAUGUAACUUAGCAUUUCUGCCGUUUAUUAUUUUGAGCUUAUGUAUUGUCUGCUGUGCGAAAUUACCAAAGGAUGGCCCUAGGGUUCAUCAAGGGCUCCAUCGCCGACAAAAGGAAGGAUUGUGGGCCAUGUAAUAUGUGUGUGUGUGUGUGUCGAGGUGACCAUAUACCUUUUCUCAGUAUCAUCAUAAUGGUGAAAGAUUAUAUGUAUUCCCUAUGAAUUGUGGUUUGCAGAUCCAUGGAUCUGUCUGUUUGAGGCAGAUUGCAAUUUGGGGAAGCAGUGGUGAUGUCUCUAUGGAUGUUAUUUUCGGCGAAUUCGGAGCCGGCCAUUCCGUUGCUCAGGUUAACUUCCACUCAUUACUUUUCAAACGGGCCAUAGUGUCAUUUAGUUGAGGCAUUAGGCCACUUCUGUCGAAGUGCGUCUUUGGCUCGCUGGAAUUCUCCUUUACUUGCACUGGUGUAGCUUUGGAUGAGAUGUCACCCUGCGCUGGUGCGUCUCGCUGAAGAGAUCGUCGUUCCGCUCUGGUGUGCCGCACUGAAGGGAGCGUCGUUCUGCUCUGGUGUACCGCGCUGAACGGAGCGCGUUCUGCUUUGGUGUACCGCGCUGAAAGGAGCGUCGUUCUGCGCUGGUGCACCUCGCUGAAGGGAGCGUCGUUCUGCUCUGUUGUACCGCGUUAAAGGGAGCGUCGUCCUGCGCUGGUGUACCGGGCUAAAGGAAGUGUGAGCGCUGAAUGGAGCGUUGUUCUGCUCUGGUGUACCGCGCUGAGGGGAGCGUCGUUCUGCUCUGGCGUACCGCGCUGAACGGAGCGUCGUCCUGCUCUGGCGCACCGCGCCGAACGGAGCGUCGUCCUGCUCUGGCGCACCGCGCUUAAGAAAGCGUCGUUCUGCGCUGGUGCACCUCGCUGAAGGGAGCGUCGUUCUGCACUGGUGUACCCUGAAGGGGCGUCGUUCUGCCCUGGUGCACCGCGAAAGGAAGCGUCGUCCUCUGGUGCACCGCGCUGAAGGGAGCGUCGUCCUGCUUUGGUGUACCGCGCUGAAGGGAGCGUCGUUUUGCUCUGGUGCACCGUGCUGAAGGGAGCCUUGCACUGCCCAGGUGUACCGUGCUGAAGUGAGCGUCGCUCUGCCCAGGUGUACCGUGCUGAAGGGAGCGGCAUUACCCGUUUCUGUUAGAUCAGGCGCAUCCGGUUUGAUUGGUAAUACCGGUUUUUCCAAAAUUCUUCUGAAUAGCUCAGAAUUUCGAUUCAAACAUUUGAUCUUGCCCCGCUCCUAGAGGAGAAAUAUCACUGAAUUCCGUGCUCACCACUAUGCAAAUAUUGCAUGUCAUUUGCAUUGUUUUUUUUUCCAAAGUACGUGCUCUAAUGUUUGCAACACAUUGCUUUGUCAAAUUGUUUGUGUAAUAAACGCUACAAAUGCU